rnacentral:rRNA from 1 species
GAUUGAACGCUGGCGGCAUGCUUUACACAUGCAAGUCGAACGGUAACAGGCCUUCGGGUGCUGACGAGUGGCGAACGGGUGAGUAAUGCAUCGGAACGUGCCCAGAGGUGGGGGAUAACGCAGCGAAAGCUGUGCUAAUACCGCAUGUGAUCUGAGGAUGAAAGCGGGGGACCAAGCAGCAAUGUUUGGCCUCGCGCCUCUGGAGCGGCCGAUGUCAGAUUAGGUAGUUGGUGGGGUAAAGGCCUACCAAGCCGACGAUCUGUAGCUGGUCUGAGAGGACGACCAGCCACACUGGGACUGAGACACGGCCCAGACUCCUACGGGAGGCAGCAGUGGGGAAUUUUGGACAAUGGGCGCAAGCCUGAUCCAGCAAUGCCGCGUGCGGGAAGAAGGCCUUCGGGUUGUAAACCGCUUUUGUACGGGACGAAAAGGCUCUGGCUAAUACCUGGGGCUGAUGACGGUACCGUAAGAAUAAGCACCGGCUAACUACGUG